UCCACGCAUGAGAGAGUGUGAGAGAGACAGAACGCCCAUGGAUCGGAGAGCUUCACUGUCGGAUCGAAACAGAGGUUCGCCGAUCACAAUAAUCCAGCUUCGCCGUCGUAGAUGGUACUUUUAGCAAUUUACCUAAAGAUAUAUGGUGACGUGUGGUUGACGAUCGAAAAGAAAGAAAGCCUAUCACCAAUAAGAGUUGCAGGUUGCUUAUGAAUUAAGCAGAAUUUCUUACGUUGCAUGUUGCUAGAUGCAGUGUACUUACAUAUUUGUACUUGACCAGGGGCGGACCUACGUAUGGUCUUGGGGUUCUUUGGCAACCCAAGAAUUUUUACAAAUUCCCAUAAAUAUACUUAUCUUGUAUAGCAUUGCCCCAGUCUAUGUUAAUUUUUGGUUUCAGUUGAUUUGCCCAAUAUUCACACUUCACAAGCUGGAGACUCACUUGGGUUGUCGAUAUUUCUUGAUUUCCUCAUCUGGUUAGUUGAAAGUCAUUUGAUUCCCCAUAUCAAUCUGUUAGUUCUUCUGUUUUGUCAUUAGAGGCAGUGAGUUUCCCUUGUUUUUUCAUCUGGGUCUUGGCAAUUUUCUCGAUUUCAGCAGCUUUUGACAUUGAAAUUGAGGGCUUUCUGCGGUUUUGAUUCAACCAGUGAGGGGAAGUUGAUUGCUUUUGCUCAUAUAUCUGUAAUAAAGGUAUAGGGUUUGGUUUGGUUUGGUUCCUGGAUUCCGUCAUUUGGAUUUUCCAGUGUUUGGAUGGUGAAUUCUGGCAGGAUUUGGAUUUUUCUGGUUAGAUUGUUUGUUCUGCUUGUGGCUCUAGAUGUGUUGUGGCUGAUCUUCUCUAGAGUGGAAAUUGGUGCUUGCAGAUGAGGGUUUUGAAAGAAUUCAUAAUGCAGAAACAAUAAAGCGAAAAUAAUAAGAUAGUGAUACAGAGAUAUAUGUGGUUUGAUCUAUGACUUACAUCCACAAGAUCAAGCCCUAAAGCUGCAUUAAGCUCUUAUAUUUUUGAGUAAUAUUCACAAUAUAACAUGCUCCUAUUUUAGGAGAAUUAUAUUGGAUAUAAAUAGAUUUUUACUCUAGCUAGGCGCUAGUCUUCAACUAUUCAACUGAAACUCAGUAAUAGUCUUCAAGUGUAACUUAGUGAUAUUCUUCAACUGUAAGUCAGUAAUAGUCUUAUACUGUAACUAUUAUUCUUAAACUCCAUGGUAUACUCUAACAGGUUUUAAUUUUCUUUUUUUCUUUGGAUGAAUGAGUAAAGUUUUGGAGGAAUUGUAUCAGUUGUUUUGGUCAUGAUUUUUGGAUUCUAACUCUUCUGUAAAGAGCUUGUGAGGCUUUGUUGCAGAAGAGAAUUGGGGUUUCUACUCCCCGGUAAGGAAAGCUUGCAUUGUAAAUGAUGUUUUAUCCUCAACUUCAAGGAGCUUCAAAACAAUCUUGUAGUCUUCUUGCUGUCACCUGUGGGGGAAAACGCUGGAGAUAAACAAUCUAUAAUUAAGAAGAAUGCUGUUUGGAGGUGCAAUAUUCUAUUUUUGGUUGCAACUUUUCUGUAUUGAGUAUUAGAUAGGAAAUGUGUCGCUUGCAACUUUUUAAGAUAGAUUUUAUAGGCAUGUAAUUUUUUAUACAUUUAUGGCUUAUGACUUAUUAUAAAAUCAAGUUUAAGAAUUGUUUGUUUUUAUUUUAUAUAUGCACGUGCGUGCACAUAGAGAAACUA